rnacentral:rRNA from 1 species
AGGUUUCCGUAGGUGGACCUUCGGAAGGAUCAUUA